rnacentral:rRNA from 1 species
AGCGAACGCUGGCGGCAGGCUUAACACAUGCAAGUCGAGCGGGCACUUCGGUGUCAGCGGCAGACGGGUGAGUAACACGUGGGAACGUACCCUUUGGUUCGGAAUAACGCUGGGAAACUAGCGCUAAUACCGGAUACGCCCUUUUGGGGAAAGGCUUGCUGCCGAAGGAUCGGCCCGCGUCUGAUUAGCUAGUUGGUGGGGUAAUGGCCUACCAAGGCGACGAUCAGUAGCUGGUCUGAGGGGAUGAUCAGCCACACUGGGACUGAGACACGGCCCAGACUCCUACGGGAGGCAGCAGUGGGGAAUAUUGGACAAUGGGCGCAAGCCUGAUCCAGCCAUGCCGCGUGAGUGAUGAAGGCCUUAGGGUUGUAAAGCUCUUUUGUCCGGGACGAUAAUGACGGUACCGGAAGAAUAAGCCCCGGCUAACUUCGUG